rnacentral:lncRNA from 1 species
AUCGACUUUAGAUGUUCACUGGUCGUAAAUUUGACCAAUUUUAUUCAUUUAUUUUCGAAUUUUGUAUUUAUUUACGAAUUUUAUAUAUUAAUUAAAAUCAAAUAUUUAAAUUUUUUUUGAUUUAAUUUUUUAAAAUUUGAUAAAAUUAAAAGAAAAUAUCUGACAUCCGUAAACAUAAUAAUAUCCAUAAUAUAAAACAUUCAAAAUACAAAUUAAUUAAAACUGAAAAAACGCCAGCCAUAGCAAUAUCGUCAAUCUGAAAGAAAAAAAAACAAAAAAAUAGAUGGUUAUAAACAAUUAAAUUUUUUAUAUAAAAAUAAUCUAAACCUAUUCUAAUUCCAUCAUAAUCUAACUCCAUCCUAAUCUACUUCCAUCCUA